GCCGGUAGUGGUGGCGCACGCCUGUAGUCCCAGCUACUCGGGAGGCUGAGACAGGAGGAUCGCUUGAGUCCAGGAGUUCUGGGCUGUAGUGCGCUAUGCCGAUCGGGUGUCCGCACUAAGUUCGGCAUCAAUAUGGUGACCUCCCGGGAGCGGGGAGCCACCAGGUUGCCUAAGGAGGGGUGAACCGGCCCAGGUCGGAAACGGAGCAGGUCAAAACUCCCGUGCUGAUCAGUAGUGGGAUCGCGCCUGUGAAUAGCCACUGCACUCCAGCCUGGGCUACACA
rnacentral:SRP_RNA from 1 species